AUUGAACGCUGGCGGCAGGCCUAACACAUGCAAGUCGAGCGAGCGGCGGACGGGUGAGUAAUGUAUGGGGACUGCCCGAUAGAGGGGGAUAACUACUGGAAACGGUAGCUAAUACCGCAUACUAUCGGAUAACCCAUAUGGGAUUAGCUAGUAGGUGAGGUAAUGGCUCACCUAGGCGCCUAUCCCUAGCUGGGCUGAGAGGAUGAUCAGCCACACUGGGACUGAGACACGUCCCAGACUCCUGCGGAGGCAGAUGUGGGGAAGAGUGCACAAUGGGCGCAAGCCUGAUGCAGCCAUGCCGCGUGUAUGAAGAAGGCCCUAGGUUUGUAAAGUACUUUCAGUCGGGAGGCGUUACCGACAGAAGAAGCACCGGCUAACUCCGUGCCAGCAGCCGCGGUAAUAC
rnacentral:rRNA from 1 species